rnacentral:rRNA from 1 species
GAUGAACGCUGGCGGCGUGCCUAAUACAUGCAAGUCGAGCGAACAGACGAGGAGCUUGCUCCUCUGACGUUAGCGGCGGACGGGUGAGUAACACGUGGAUAACCUACCUAUAAGACUGGGAUAACUUCGGGAAACCGGAGCUAAUACCGGAUAAUAUAUUGAACCGCAUGGUUCAAUAGUGAAAGACGGUUUUGCUGUCACUUAUAGAUGGAUCCGCGCCGCAUUAGCUAGUUGGUAAGGUAACGGCUUACCAAGGCAACGAUGCGUAGCCGACCUGAGAGGGUGAUCGGCCACACUGGAACUGAGACACGGUCCAGACUCCUACGGGAGGCAGCAGUAGGGAAUCUUCCGAAAUGGGCGAAAGCCUGACGGAGCAACGCCGCGUGAGUGAUGAAGGUCUUCGGAUCGUAAAACUCUGUUAUUAGGGAAGACAAAUGUGUAAGUAACUAUGCACGUCUUGACGGUACCUAAUCAGAAAGCCACGGCUAACUACGUG